CUCUGAGAGACCGCCCACGGAGUCAGGAAAAGGGGAAUUUUGAAAGACCGCUUCUGCAUACUGAAGGGUGGGACGAUGAGGUCAGUCCCACCCCACCCCAGUUAAAACCAGUCUGACAGGCCGUCGCGACCUGUCUGAGGCAACAUUCCCCAAGAACUCCACUUUUGCCUGUUGAACCGCCAGGGAUUUAAAGCGGGAGUUCAGUCCUACAGCUACCGUCGUACUGCUCCACCCACUCCUGUGGUUUCAAAUAAACAUAUAUAUAAUGACUACCAAA